GAUGAAGAACGCAGCGAAAUGCGAUAAGUAAUGUGAAUUGCAGAAUUCAGUGAAUCAUCGAAUCUUUGAACGCACAUUGCGCCCGUUAGCAUUCUAGCGGGCAUGCCUGUCCGAGCGUCAUUGCUGCCCUCAAGCACGGCUUGUGUGUUGGGCCCCGUCCUCCGAUCCCGGGGGACGGGCCCGAAAGGCAGCGGCGGCACCGCGUCCGGUCCUCGAGCGUAUGGGGCUUUGUCACCCGCUCUGUAGGCCCGGCCGGCGCUUGCCGAUCAACCCAAAUUUUUAUCCAGGUUGACCUCGGAUCAGGUAGGGAUACCCGCUGAACUUAAGCAUAUCAAUAAGCGGAGGA
rnacentral:misc_RNA from 1 species